AUGGCGGAUCCCCUGCUCACAAAAAGAGAGAAAAAGCAGGGAGAUGAGAGAUGGAAACAAAAGGAGCACGGGAAGAAGAAGAAGAAGCAGGCAUCGGCGCUCAUCUCCGACGAAGCUUGCCGGCGACAAAGUGGCACGAGGCGAAGGGGAUCGAGCGUAGAGGCGCAAGAGGAGGAACUCGGGGCUGCUUUGGUGCCGCGCUGCUGCUUGGGUGAGGCAAGACGGCAGCCGGAUGGAUGUGCGGUGGAGGCAGAGAGUGGAGGCGGAGGGGAUUGGAUCGGGCGAAACAGUGGAGGCGCUGGGUUGGGCGAUGGGGAUCCCGAGGAAGAUGUGGCGGCGGCGGGGUGA
rnacentral:rRNA from 1 species